GUGGGGUGACUGCGUACCUUUUGUAUAAUGGGUCAGCGACUUAUAUUCUGUAGCAAGGUUAACCGUAUAGGGGAGCCGAAGGGAAACCGAGUCUUAACUGGGCGUUAAGUUGCAGGGUAUAGACCCGAAACCCGGUGAUCUAGCCAUGGGCAGGUUGAAGGUUGGGUAACACUAACUGGAGGACCGAACCGACUAAUGUUGAAAAAUUAGCGGAUGACUUGUGGCUGGGGGUGAAAGGCCAAUCAAACCGGGAGAUAGCUGGUUCUCCCCGAAAGCUAUUUAGGUAGCGCCUCGUGAACUCAUCUUCGGGGGUAGAGCACUGUUUCGGCUAGGGGGUCAUCCCGACUUACCAACCCGAUGCAAACUGCGAAUACCGAAGAAUGUUAUCACGGGAGACACACGGCGGGUGCUAACGUCCGUCGUGAAGAGGGAAACAACCCAGACCGCCAGCUAAGGUCCCAAAGUCACAGUUAAGUGGGAAACGAUGUGGGAAGGCUCAGACAGCCAGGAUGUUGGCUUAGAAGCAGCCAUCAUUUAAAGAAAGCGUAAUAGCUCACUGGUCGAGUCGGCCUGCGCGGAAGAUGUAACGGGGCUAAACUGUGCACCGAAGCUGCGGCAGCGACGCUUAUGCGUUGUUGGGUAGGGGAGCGUUCUGUAAGCCUGCGAAGGUGUCCUGUGAGGGAUGCUGGAGGUAUCAGAAGUGCGAAUGCUGACAUAAGUAACGAUAAUGCGGGUGAAAAGCCCGCUCGCCGGAAGACCAAGGGUUCCUGUCCAACGUUAAUCGGGGCAGGGUGAGUCGACCCCUAAGGCGAGGCCGAAAGGCGUAGUCGAUGGGAAACGGGUUAAUAUUCCCGUACUUGGUGUUACUGCGAAGGGGGGACGGAGAAGGCUAUGUUGGCCGGGCGACGGUUGUCCCGGUUUAAGCGUGUAGGCUGGUUUUCCAGGCAAAUCCGGAAAAUCAAGGCUGAGGCGUGAUGACGAGGCACUACGGUGCUGAAGCAACAAAUGCCCUGCUUCCAGGAAAAGCCUCUAAGCAUCAGGUAACAUCAAAUCGUACCCCAAACCGACACAGGUGGUCAGGUAGAGAAUACCAAGGCGCUUGAGAGAACUCGGGUGAAGGAACUAGGCAAAAUGGUGCCGUAACUUCGGGAGAAGGCACGCUGACACGUAGGUGAAGUGAUUUACUCA
rnacentral:rRNA from 1 species